rnacentral:tmRNA from 1 species
GGGGGUGUACUGGUUUCGACGGGGAUGUUGAAGCGUGAUAAGCGGGUCAGGCCGGGCAAUCCUGUAAAAGGCCCAACCUUAAAAAAUUAAACGACAACAAUACUGUUGCAAUGGCAGCCUAAGGGCUGUGCCGCGGCGUGAUACACGCCGCCCGUUCCGCCGGGGAGAGCCACGGCCCCGGAUGGAGCGUCAUGUAGUGGCGUCCGUGCAUCGGUGUUUCGCCAUUGAACCGGUCAUGAACAAAAUGGCUGCCGCCGGAUGAGCCUGUCCCCGGGCGCAUACGGCGGGAGAUCAAAUCAGGGACUACACCCGUAGAAAGUUGCGUGGAUAUGUUUUCGGACAGGGGUUCGACUCCCCUCACCUCCACCA